GUGCACUUGAUACUAACCUAGAUAUCUGCUCUGGAUCCUCUCCAGGGUUUAUCCGUGGUAUCUGGGUCCAAGAAGUGCUAUAGUAACUGCCGUAAGCAUUUAAGCUCAGGGUGUGAAGUGACACUGAGUUAUAACUUGCUGUACAGAU